UAGAUAUAUAUAUAUAUAUACAUAUAUAUAUAUAUAAUCUGUACAAGAGAAGGGGAAGAGGAAUGGGGGGGUAGGAAAUGUAUGGGGGUGGUCAGGAUUGGGACAAGGAGUUCGUAGUAGACCUUUCAGGGAAUAGUUUUUGAAAUUUUUUUCGUUUAUUUAUUCUUUUGUAUUACACAGCAGUGUUGCAGCAGAGGAACAGCGGACUGCAGCAGUGGAGAAAAGACAAAAAAAAAAAAAAAAGAAAAAAAGGGAAAAACAAAAAAAAAAAAUGAUGGAGUGGAGGGGGGUGGGGUUAAAAAAAACAUAGGAGGGCAAAGGAUCAAAGGUGGAAAAUUAAUUGUAAUUUCUUACAAUGGCAUAAAACCUCAAAUUUUUACUUAUUUAUUAUUCUUUUCUUUUUUUUGUUGUUGUUGGGUUGGAAAGAUCACAGUCGAUUAAAUCAACCACUGCAGUUCGUUAACUGGUACUUAAUUAUUUGUCAACCUGCCUGUUACCCAGAAAGGAUGAAAAAUAAAUUUAAAAAAAAAAAGGGGGUGAAGAAAAAAAAACUGACCUUGGUUGGAUUAGAACUCAAAAACGUAACACCACGAGGCACUUUAUCCAACUGUCAACACACUGUCAAUUCUGCUACCCCAUCAACCCACAUAAUCUGCCAGCUUGCCACUUCAUCAUCAUCAUCAUCGUUUAACGUCCGCUUUCCAUGCUAGCAUGGGUUGGACGAUUUUGACUGAGGGCUGGGGAAACCAGAUGGCUGCACCAGACUCCAAUCUUGAUUUGGCAGAGUUUCUACAGCUGGAUGCCCUUCCGAAUGCCAACCAUUCCGAGAGUGUAGUGGAUGCUUUUUACGUGCCACCGGCACGGGGGCCAGUCAGGCAGUACUGGCAUGACCUCGCUUGAAUCUUUUUACACAUGCCACCAACACAGGUGCCAGAAGGCGACGUUGGUAACGAUCACGCUCGAAUGGUGCCCUUUUACAUGCCAUGGCAUGGGGGCAAGUCAGGCAGUACUGGCAAUGACCUCGCUUGGUUUCAAAUCUUGGCACAAGGCCAGCAAUUUUCAAGGGGCGGGGGGUAACUUGAUUACAUCAACCUUAAUUCUCAACUAGUACUUACUUCACCGACCCCCAAAAGGAUGAAAGGCAAAUCUGACCUCGGUGGAAUUUGAACUCAGAACACAGAGACAGACAAAAUACAAGGCUAAGCACUGCCAACAUUAAUAAUAAUCUUUUCUACUAUAGGCACACGGCCUGGAUUUUGUGGGGAGGGGGACAGUUGAUCACAUCGACCCCAAUACUCAGCUGGUACUUAAUUUAUCGACCCUGAAAGUAUGAAAGGCAAAGUUGACUUUGCUGAAAUUUGAACUCAGAAUGUAGUGACAUACGAAAUACCGUUAAGCAUUUCAUCCAGCGUGCUAACGAUUCUGCCAGCUCGCUGCCUUAAUAAUAAUAAUAAUAAUGAUGACGAUGAUAAUAAUAAUAAUCCUUUCUACUAUAGGCACAAGGCCUGAAAUUUGGGGGAGGGGUAAAUUGAUUAUAUUGACCGCAGUACUCAAAUGGUACUUAAUUUAUUGACCCCGAAAGGAUAAAAGGCAAAGUCAACCUCAGCAGAAUUUGAACUCACAACGUAGCGGUGAGCAGAAUACUGCUAAGCCUUUAGCCUGGCAUGCUAACAGAUCUGCCAUCUCACCACCUUAAUAAUAAUAAUAAUAAUAAUAAUAAUAAUAAUGAUGAUUUCAAAUUUUAGCAUAAGGCCUGAAACUUUGAAGAAGGAAGCUAGUCAAUUACAUCAACCCCAGCACAUAACUGGUAUUUAUUUUAUUGACCCUGAAAUGAGGAAAGGCAAAGUCAACCUUGGCAGAAUUUGAACUCAGAACAUCAAGACUGGCAACAUGUCACAAAGCAUUUUGCGCAGUGCAGUAACAAUUCAGUGAAUUUGCCACCUUAGUGUAUUCUGGAUUAUUCCAACCUGUUUUGGUCCAUUCCAGUUUCAUCUAGUUUGCUCCAGUUCUGAUUUAGGGUUUUCUAGUUCAUUCCAAUCUACCCAGGUAUGUUCAGGUUUAUUCUUGUAUGUUCCAGUUUAUUGUGGGAUGUUCAGGUUUAUUGUGGUAUGUUCUGGUGUGCUCUGGUAUGACCAGCUACAGCUAGGCAGGCAUAGCCAUGUGGUUAAGAAGCUCACUUUGCAAACCAUGUGAAUUCAGGUUCAAUCCUACAGCACGGCACCUUGGGUGUGUCUUCUACUACAGCCCCUGGCCAACCAAUGCCUUGUGAGUGAAGCCGAGAUGGAAACUGUGUGGGAGUCUGUCACAUAUAUAUAUAUAUAUAUAUAGAUAUGUAAAUAUACAUGGCUGUGGCCAUACUGGAGCAUUGCUGGUGCUCCAGCAUUGUUAAAACCUUUGGGCUCUUUCAAUCACAUCUGGGUUCAGUCCCACUGUGUGGCACCUUGGGCAAAUGUCUUCUACUGUAGCAUCGGGAGUAGAUUUGGUAAACGGAAACUGAAAGAAGCCCAUCAUAUAAAUAUAUAUGCAUGUAUGUAUAUAUGUCUCUGUUUGUCCCCCCACCAACCAUUGCUUGACAAUGUUGGUGUGUUUAUGUCCUUGUAACUUAGCAGUUCAACUACAGAGACCAAUAGAAAAAGUACUAGGCUUUAUAAAAAAAUAAGUCCUGGAGUCAAUUUAUUUGACUAAAACCCUUCAAGGCAGUGCCCCAGCAUGGCCACAGCCAACUGACUAAAACAAGUAAAAGAAUAUAUAUAUAUGUAUAGGAGUGGCUGUGUGGUAAGAAGCUUGCUUCCCAACCACAUGGCUCUGGGUUCAAUCCCACUGCGUGUGACCUUGAGCAAGUGUUUUCUACUAUAACCUCAGGCCAACCAAAGCCUUGUGAGCGGAUUUGGUAGAUGGAAACUGAAAGAAGCCCGUUGUAUAUAUAUAUAUGUGUGUGUGUGUGUACGUGUUUGUGUGUCUGUGUUUGUCGCCCAAACAUCGCUUGACAACCGAUGCUGGUGUGUUUACGUUCCCGUCACUCAGCAGUUCAGCAAAAGAGACCGACAGAAUAAGUACUAGGCUGACAAAAAAUAAGUCCUGGGGUCAAUCUGCUCGACUAUAAAGGUGGUGCUCCAGCAUGGCCACAGUCAAAUGACUGAAACAAGUAAAAGAGUAAUCCAAUAUGUUACAGACAUAACCAGAUUUAAUCCGACCUGUUCCAAUGUUUUCCAGUUUAAUCUAGUCUGACCCACUGUAUACUAAUUUAAACCAGCCUGCUUCAGUGUAUUCUAAUUUAAUCCGGUUUCUUCCAGUUGAAACCAGUCUGAACAAAUGUAUAUAUAUUCUAAUUUCAACCCUUGAACAUUCAGAUUAUCAAAUGGAUAUAUAUUUAUUCACACUGCUUUGAAUUAACCAUGGAUUAUCUCAUAGCUUUGAUAUUUCGAUGAUGGGAUUGUUUAUUUUUAGAAUGGCAUUAUAUGGAAGGUAAGAAAAGCCAGAUCUGGUCAGUUCGAACCUACAACAGUGAGAAACAGGGGCUGGACAUGACCAGUUUAACCCUUACAGAUUCAGAUUGCUCAGUGAAAUGUAAUGCUUAUUUAUAUGUAUUGUUUUGAAUUAAUCAAGCAUUAUCUCACAGCUCUGAGAUUUCAAUGAUGGGAUUGUUUAUUUUUAGAAUGACACUGCAGGGUAGGUAUGAGGGGCCUGACCUAGUUCUUUUGAACUUAAAACAGAUAGCUUCAGUCUCUGGUUGAAACCAAUAAAAUAUAUAUAAAAGAUAUAUGUAGGUAGGGGCGCUCCGAAAGGGGUCUCAGGGAGUAGUACCCAUGCCUUCUUGAGCUAAUUUUCCACCAUAUUUCUUUAAAAUCGUGGUAGAGGCCUUGAUCUCGGGACCACUUGUGUCUAGAAACUGAGGUUGAGGGUAAGCAAGGGCAUGCUCCCUGUAGAAAAUCCAGCUCCAAAAAAGCCACAUGAUAGCAAAGGAGAAUGGGCACCAGCCAGCCCAAAGGUUGGGGUGGGCUGCACCUACCUGCUUCAGUUGCUAUGGCAUUUGAGGUAGAUCUGGCCACCCCCGUUCACGGGGACAAAACCUGGAUUUAAAACACUGAAUGAUGAUGAUGACGCCGAUGCAUACGUGUGUGUUUGUGUGUCCUCAUCUUGGUAUAUGAUAAUCGUAAACGAGUGUCACUGUCAUACAAGCAGUGUCGUUUGUUUCCAAUAUUCUCCAAAGACAUAUCUAGCCACGGCGGGGAAUAUUACCUGGUUUGCAAACAGGUGAAAGGUUGAUGACAGGGAAGGCAUCCAGCUGUAGGAAAAUUUGCCUCGGCAACUUCCAUACGACCCAUGAAAGCAUAGAAAAGCUGAUAUCAAAUAAACAAUGGUGAUAUCCAUCAGUUCCAACGAUGACUGUUCAGUGAUUUGAUUAACUGAUUGACAUAUUCAUCGUAUGAAAAUCUAAGUGGCUGAGUAUACCUAGGUCUUUUACAGAUGGUUAUAAAUCCACCUGGCACCGUACUCCAUCGCUAACACCAGCCAUUUAAGCCUUUUAUCUGAGUUUUCACUCUGAAGACUAGGGUCAAUCGAUGAUUAAAUAUUAAUUUG
rnacentral:lncRNA from 1 species